rnacentral:rRNA from 1 species
AUUGAACGCUGGCGGCAGGCUUAACACAUGCAAGUCGAGCGGGGACUUCGGUCCUAGCGGCGAACGGGUGAGGAAUGCUUGGGAAUCUGCCCAGUAGUGGGGGAUAACGUUUCGAAAGGAACGCUAAUACCGCAUACGUCCUACGGGAGAAAGGGGGGGAUCUUCGGACCUCUCGCUAUUGGAUGAGCCCAAGUGGGAUUAGCUAGUUGGUGGGGUAAAGGCCUACCAAGGCGACGCUCCGUAGCUGGUCUGAGAGGAUGAUCAGCCACACUGGAACUGAGACACGGUCCAGACUCCUACGGGAGGCAGCAGUGGGGAAUAUUGGACAAUGGGCGAAAGCCUGAUCCAGCCAUGCCGCGUGUGUGAAGAAGGCCUUCGGGUUGUAAAGCACUUUAAGUGGGGAGGAAUGGCUCUUGGUUAAUAACCUUGAGCAGUGACGUUACCCACAGAAUAAGCACCGGCUAACUCUGUGCCAGCCGCCGCGGUAAAAC